CCGAUAUCGAGAUUAUUAAAUUGUCUACUUACUUUGGAAUACAAUGUCAGGAAAACUAUGAAAUGAUCCAACCAUCUUACUUUGGAAUACAAUGUCUGUCUACUUAUAAAGAAAUACAUUCCUUCUCCGCAUGAAGAGACAUUCAAAGAUCCAGAUUUCAAUAAACAAAGUCAGUCAUGAAGAUAACGAAAUCACGGAUUCCGCUGAAGAUCAUGGGUUGACCGAUAUUGCAAAUACACCUGCCAAGAUAGGUAUAACUAAUCUUGCAGUAGUGGUUGAAGAAGAUUCGAAUGCACAAUUAUCAGGAAAUAAGAUCAAGAGAGUAUUUAAUAAGAAGAAGACAAUAUAAGCUUUUGCAUAUGUAACA